rnacentral:lncRNA from 1 species
GAUCAUAUAGCUAUGCUAUGGCUUUCUAGGGCUAUCGUGAGUUGAGGUAACCCUAGCCUUAGAAUCCUAACAAUUCUUGUGUAAUCCAUACCCUAUUCAUAAUUACUUUUUGCGACAAAUAACAAGAUUUUAGAGGAAAUGCCAAGGCCAUUUAGUCAAUAGAGAAAGAUUUUUGAAAUAAUUUUCUUAAUACCCAUGCCACCAACUUUUAAGAAAGGCAACAACACACCAAAGCACCAGAUGUUUUCCCAAGGUCUCACAUGAUCUACACCAUUAAAAAUUCUACAUGAUUCUCUAGCUUCUUGGCCACCCCCUAGGAUCCUAAACAAAGAGAUAAUAUAUAGGAACCAACUUGGAUAAGAGAAACCUUGUCACUUAAAGAACACAAAUUGGCCUUCCAACAAUGAGGCUUGUAGAAAUCCUACUUGCUACAGGAUUUUGGAAAAGCUUAACCUGAAGGUACCCUCAAGAGGGACUCUAAGAUUGGUGAUAGGCCAUAUUAACACAUUGGCUAAUUAACCUUGCAAGCCUAGAGAUGGCACCCUCCCUAGUGUUAGUCACCAGGAUCCACUCUUAGCAAAGGUUGGCGAGUAAUCCCUCAAAAAACUUGGAGUAAGAUGAGCAUAUUAUUGACAACCGAAUUUUCUUUUUGGCGAAUUGGAGAUAGGUAUGUGGUCUAUGUUUGCCACAUACCUAUAGCCA